rnacentral:rRNA from 1 species
UGGAGGGCAAGUCUGGUGCCAGCAGCCGCGGUAAUUCCAGCUCCAAUAGCGUAUAUUAAAGUUGUUGCAGUUAAAAAGCUCGUAGUUGAAUUUCGGGAUUCAUCCGUUGGUCGGGCUUCACGGUCCGUACUGGUGUGAUGGGUUCCUACCUUCUGAAUAACCGGCAUGCCAUUAAUUUGGUGCGCCGGGGAAGCAGAACUAUUACCUUGAAAAAAUUAGAGUGCUUAAAGCAGGCAAGUGCCUGAAUAGGUUAGCAUGGAAUAAUAAAAUAGGACGGCAUGGUUCUAUUUUGUUGGUUUCUAGGAUCACCGUAAUGAUUAAUAGGGAUAGUUGGGGGCAUUAGUAUUCAAUUGUCAGAGGUGAAAUUCUUGGAUUUAUUGAAGACUAACUUCUGCGAAAGCAUUUGCCAAGGAUGUUUUCAUUAAUCAAGAACGAAAGUUAGGGGAUCGAAGACGAUCAGAUACCGUCGUAGUCUUAACCAUAAACUAUGCCGACUAGGGAUCGGACGAUGUUAAUUUUUUAAUGACUCGUUCGGCGCCUUACGGGAAAC